UUCAGUUUAGUGCAAUUUGAAAAUCAAAUUGAAUCCUCCAUGUCCCAGUUUGUGAAUGUUACAUUGGCUUUGUGUGUUAAUACAGCAGAGAGCAAAGACUGUUUACAUUCAAAAGCUUUACAGAGAGGGAUGGUGCAUCCAUGCACUCUUGUAUAGAUUCAAACAAACCUCCCAAAUGAAUGUGAAGUCUCAAAUGUCAGGUUUCCAGCUGCAUUAGAAAACAUAAUACCCAGAAAUAAUCAAGUACCUUUGGCUAAGACAUAACUUUAUAUAAUAUUAAUUUAGUAGGAUCUAUCACUUACAGCACCUAUUCCAUAUUGUGAACUGCUGUCUGCAAGUUGAUAUUUGUUGUACAAAAAUGGUAGGAAAGAAGUGACUGACUGCACUUGAAAGGUCUGAUGGUAUGUUCCUUUAAGGUGACCUUCUGGAGUGCUGCUUCUCUGGCCUUGCUGCUUGGGGAUUAAAUUGAUGCUGUUUCUCUUGGAAAACCUCCAAGUGAUAAACCCAAACCACAAACAUGGUACAUACAUCGAACAGCACACAGCGUCAUCUACAUCAUCAUCAUCAAAAAAAAAAAAAAGAAGAACAGAAAUACACAUUCUACACUGGAACAAAGCUUAAAAAUUAUGAGUAUAAUGGUAAUUAAGGAGUAUAUCACAAGACUGCCCAUGUACCAUGAAAUGUCAAAAACAGGAAAGAAAGUGAGAUACAAAAAAAAAAUGUUUGAUGAAGAAAUUAAAAGAUAGACGUGGGAAUAUUUUUAAUACUGUAAUAUCCAUCAGACAAACACAAAAGUACAUUAUAAAUUCUUCUCUGACUUCCAGUUGCUCUGUGUCCUUUUUCAACUGGUACUUCUGGUGACAUGAGACUUGAAACUUCUGCUCAGACUGAUGAGC